AGAAGAGGACAGUGGAACUCCAUGUGUAGCGGUGAAAUGCGUAGAUAUAUGGAAGAACACCAGUGGCGAAGGCGGCUGUCUGGUCUGUAACUGACGCUGAGGCUCGAAAGUAUGGGUAGCAAACAGGAUUAGAUACCCUGGUAGUCCAUACCGUAAACGAUGAAUGCUAAGUGUUGGAGGGUUUCCGCCCUUCAGUGCUGCAGCUAACGCAUUAAGCAUUCCGCCUGGGGAGUACGGCCGCAAGGCUGAAACUCAAAGGAAUUGACGGGGGCCCGCACAAGCGGUGGAGCAUGUGGUUUAAUUCGAAGCUACGCGAAGAACCUUACCAGGUCUUGACAUACUAUGCAAAUCUAAGAGAUUAGACGUUCCCUUCGGGGACAUGGAUACAGGUGGUGCAUGGUUGUCGUCAGCUCGUGUCGUGAGAUGUUGGGUUAAGUCCCGCAACGAGCGCAACCCUUAUUAUCAGUUGCCAGCAUUAAGUUGGGCACUCUGGUGAGACUGCCGGUGACAAACCGGAGGAAGGUGGGGAUGACGUCAAAUCAUCAUGCCCCUUAUGACCUGGGCUACACACGUGCUACAAUGGAUGGUACAACGAGUUGCGAACUCGCGAGAGUAAGCUAAUCUCUUAAAGCCAUUCUCAGUUCGGAUUGUAGGCUGCAACUCGCCUACAUGAAGUCGGAAUCGCUAGUAAUCGCGGAUCAGCAUGCCGCGGUGAAUACGUUCCCGGGCCUUGUACACACCGCCCGUCACACCAUGAGAGUUUGUAACACCCAAAGUCGGUGGGGUAACCUUUUAGGAACCAGCCGCCUAAGGUGGGACAGAUGAUUAGGGUGAAGUCGUAANCAAGGUAGCCGUA
rnacentral:rRNA from 1 species